rnacentral:lncRNA from 1 species
AUCUUUAUUAGUGUGCUUCUCGGGCCAAGUUUCUUGAAGGUGAUCAAUCAUUUCUCGAUACAAAUGUUGCAAAAAAAAUAGAAGUUAUUAAAUGUUGGUGGCUCAUAAUGCAGUGCAUUUAAGAAGAGCAUGCUUUCAAAGGUUAAGACUGCUUUCCUGAUUCCUACAAC